rnacentral:rRNA from 1 species
CCUACGGGAGGCAGCAGUGGGGGAUAUUGCACAAUGGGGGGAACCCUGAUGCAGCGACGCCGCGUGGGUGAAGGAGUGCUUCGGCAUGUAAAGCCCUAUCGGCAGGGAAGAAGCAAGACGGUACCUGACUAAGAAGCCCCGGCUAACUACGUGCCAGCAGCCGCGGUAAUACGUAGGGGGCGAGCGUUAUCCGGAUUCACUGGGUGUAAAGGGAGCGUAGACGGCCAUGCAAGCCAGGGGUGAAAGCCCGGGGCCCAACCCCGGGACUGCCCUUGGAACUGUGCGGCUAGAGUGCGGGAGGGGCAGGCGGAAUUCCUGGUGUAGCGGUGAAAUGCGUAGAUAUCAGGAGGAACACCGGCGGCGAAGGCGGCCUGCUGGACUGCGACUGACGUUGAGGCUCAAAAGCGUGGGGAGCGAACAGGAUUAGAUACCCGGGUAGUC